GCCUGGCACCAUUACCAAACUUGCUCCCAAUCUGAUCUAGUUGGGCAGAACUGGUGCAACAAACAAAGGUUGAUGUAAUUCACAGUGUCAGGCCAUCAUUGUUGAGGCGGGAACCAAAAUGAUAGCAGGGACACAAUGUAGCUUUUUUUGGUGCAAAACUUUUGGCAGGUUACAAGGUGUGGUCCAAGCAAGGGCUGCAAUUAUUAAUAAGUAUCAUCAUCUAAAAUUAUCUGUGUGCAAAAAUUGACAGUGGCUUGAAACCACCGAAAGGAGUGUAUCAUUGGUCAAAAGAAAUAUGAGAAAUAGGCCCAAAUUAAGUUUAUCCAGGCUAGCACAUCAGCAUCGGCAAGAUGGUAAAAUAACCAACCCAGCCUUACCUUACAACUACACACUAAAGAAUUGAUCACAUGAAAAGUGCAUCAAUGAGAAUAAACUUUGCAGUAGUCUCAUAAGAUGACAGCAUAUGAUCAUCAAAAUGACUACAUACAACAUCAAAUCCUAGGUGUGAUUCCACAGAAAGCAGUCCAAAGAGAGGAAGGAUAAUAUCAGACUCGCUCCAUGGCCUAAGAAUCACAUCUAGGGUUCGGAGGCCUUAAAGCUCCCAUACGGAAUCACACCACAAGAGCAAAGAAAACCAAAAACUCCCAUCUUUCAUUCAUAAUCUGCGUAAAGUAUGAUUACAUCAAACCUUAAGCGUCCAGUUUUAGAACAAAACAGAAACCCUGAUUCGAGACUUCUAAAAUUCCAAAACUGCCCCUAAUAAGGUAUAGUUAUUGCUCACCAUGAACAAUCAAAAUCUGAUAUCUUUUAAUCUCAGCCUUUGACUUUAAAAGGCCUACUAAAAACUAAAAAUAAUAGAAAAUAAAUAAAAAAAGAAAAUCGAUAACCAUAAUGAAAUCUAAGAAAAAUCCACACUUCAAUGCACCAUGAUAUGUUCUCGAUCUCCAUCAUUCAGUUCUGUUGCUGGAAUCUGAUCUCGAGUUCUUUUAGGUCAAAGUUGGAUACCAAUUAUUGAAUGUUGUGCCAUAUUGUGAGCAUGGUAUGCUGAACCGGCCGGUUCAACACGUACCGUAUCGGUACUGAAGCCAACCGGUGCGGUUCAGCAGUUGAAAACAGUUUCCGCUGCGUACCGGUGCGAAUCGGACCAGUUCGCACCGGUACAUGCAGGGCAGCGCGCCUGCGUGUGCAAG
rnacentral:lncRNA from 1 species